GUGGGUAUAGCUCAAUUGUAGAGCACAUGCUUUGCACGCCUGACAAGGUCCUGGGUUCAAUCCCCAGUACCUCCA
rnacentral:tRNA from 1 species